CGGCGCUACACCGUUGUUCAAAUACUUAUAAUUGCAAGAAACCCCCGACUAGGACCAGCAGUCAUUGAUGUUAGCAUGUACUACACAAAGAAAAACAGGCAAAGCAUGAAGCCAAAGGAAAUGUUUUUACCAAGGCAUGUUCCUCAAUAGCGGAGAGAGUUUUAUCCAGUGUCGGUUCUGCAGAAGAACCCAUUCAUAGCAGACCACCCAUUGCAGCACUUGUAAGGUCGCUAUAAAGAACCCGACAGACUCUGCGACCAAAAGAUCCCACUGACGUGUCGUCAAGCAUAAGUACUCAUGCAAUUAAA